rnacentral:lncRNA from 1 species
GAUGAUCUGAUAUAUAAGCAUGGCUGAUGGCUCAUCAAGAGGCGUCGAGCAUCUUCUUGUAGUACUCUUCGUCGUCGAUCCUCCAGAGCGAGUAAUCCGAGCAGUAUUCCCACACCGGCGACGACGGCAUCACCGGCGGCUCGGCGGCGGCGGGGUGACACGCUCCUACCCAGCCGUCGACCAUGUAGCUCGCCGCCGCCUCGGCUGCCGCGAUCUCGUUCCAGAACUGGUCCAUGGUGUAGGACGACGCUUCCUGCUGCUGCUGCUGCUGGUGGUGGUGAUGCUGGCUUGCCGCGGUGGUGGACGCCUCGUCGAGCUCGGCGUCGUCCUCUGCGCCGCCGCCGCCGCCGCUCUCUCGCAGCGCUGAACCGGUGACCGCCGACGACGACGCGGCCGUGCCGCAGCCGCUGCUCGGAGAGCCGGAGCAGGACGCGGUGGUGGUGGUCACGGUCGACGACGAGGACACCGAUGCCGCCGACGCCGCCGUCUUCGCUGCCUUCUGCUUCCUGGUGCGCGUCCUCCAGUAGUUCUUGAUCUCGUUGUCGGUGCGGCCGGGGAGGCUCCUGGCGAUGCGCGACCACCUGCUGCCGUACUGCGCGUGGAGCUCGAGGAUGAGGCGCUCCUCGUCGGCGGUGAUGCGGCCGCGGCGGAGGCCCGGGUGGAGGUAGUUGACCCACCGGAGACGGCAGCUCUUGCCGGUGCGCCUCAGACCUGCAGUACGCCGACACGCAUGCAUAGAGAAGAAAGCAGGGAGAAGGAGAAGAGGAAGCAAAUGGUUCACACCGGUCGUCUCUGCCCAUCCUAAGAUCAAUCCCCAAGAAUGGAUGCAUACAUAUAAAUAUAUAUAUAUUUAUAUACAUACGCAUGCUUGGGGAUGCACCCGCCACCGCCCCAACCUGAAACCUUUGCUAAG